rnacentral:rRNA from 1 species
AUUGAACGCUGGCGGAAUGCUUUACACAUGCAAGUCGAACGGCAGCACGGGAGCUUGCUCCUGGUGGCGAGUGGCGAACGGGUGAGUAAUGCAUCGGAACGUGCCCUGAAGUGGGGGAUAACGUAGCGAAAGUUACGCUAAUACCGCAUAUUCUGUGAGCAGGAAAGCAGGGGAUCUUCGGACCUUGCGCUUUUGGAGCGGCCGAUGUCGGAUUAGCUAGUUGGUGGGGUAAAGGCCCACCAAGGCGACGAUCCGUAGCGGGUCUGAGAGGAUGAUCCGCCACACUGGAACUGAGACACGGUCCAGACUCCUACGGGAGGCAGCAGUGGGGAAUUUUGGACAAUGGGCGCAAGCCUGAUCCAGCCAUGCCGCGUGAGUGAAGAAGGCCU